UAAAUACUUUAUUUUGGAUAAUGGAAAGCCUGAAUAACCACCUGAAACACUCGAAAUACCUUUGCUCAGUCUGAAUGUCUGAUCAACAAAUACCUUUCCCAUGCGUGGUUCUGACCCAGCGUCAGUCUUCUUGGCAAGAAUUUUCACGACGCAUGAUUUCCACAAAGAUUCCCAUGUGGGUGGAAUCUCGCAAGGAACCCAGGCCAUAUCACAAGUUUUUGCAUUCCAACCCAUAUCAUGGAUGCUGCUUCUCUGCUUUGUAUGGGGGAAAGAAAAUGCAGCGCAUGAAACUAUCUUACAAGAGCGCCUAUUAUCCACGACACGAUUGAGUACAUUACUACGUUAACAGAGGAAGGGGGUGCACAGCCGGAUGUCUAGAUGAGAGUCAAUGCAGAGGAUGAGAGGACGGACAUCGCUGCACGCAUGCAUGGACGCCGUUGGGCCAAGAGUCCAAAGGCUUAUCUUGGGCUUUCCAAUCACACGCAGUCAGGAGACCCGACGGGCCUAUUGAACUCACCUAAGGCCCAUAAAAAUUUUUUCUCCUCGCAUCCCGAAGUAGAGGAUGUCAAGAAUGGCGGACUGUUGCCGCCGGAGCCCGCAGCCACGGCUCCCCUCGAGUCUCCUCCUCCUCGCCGCCGGGGCGGCGGAUCUGCACGACUACACCUACUCGGGCGACAAGGCGGAGGCGUCGCGAGAAACUCUCCCGGGAACCAUGAGCUCUGGCUGCGGGGACCUGGCGGGCGGAGCCUCGCGUUCUGCGGAAAGGCGAGAGGAGCCGCGAUGGUGUUCGUGGAAAUGCCGCACCGGAGUGCGCGGCAACAACUACUCCUACCAAAAAGAAAAAGGUUAGCAUGAUUUGUUUUUGAGGUCAAUUCACCGAAACAACACCAGCGCGCACUGGCGUGCGGAAUUUAGCAUUAGCAGGUUAUGAGUUGUCUGUGUCAUGAGGCGCUGAAUCAUUCACAAACUCAUCCAUCAUCAAGUCUAUCUCAAAGUCUCAUCAACUUUAUUUCCAUGCCAAGGACUGUCUUCCUUGACGCUAUGUUCGUUACCUUCUCAGAAGUUUCGUUUGACGUGGUAGCUGCAGCUCAACGGCGGAUCCCCUUGGUGAAGCUUGUCAUGGGACAGGACUACAGGAAUGUGCCGGAUUGGCCACAGUUGUUCAACACGGGGGUAAGUCACUAUCAAGAAUUAAUGAAGAAGGACCAAAUCACUUUCAAAAGACUAGUAAACUCCCAUUAUGUAUGAAUGAAUAUUUUGCUACUUAUAUGACAAUGCAAAUGGAAAUAAUAAAUGAAAUAAAUAUUAUGCAGUUAAUAAAUAGAUUCUGAAAAUCUAAUGAGAGAUGAUGCUUGAACUCAUCAUUCCUGGAAGGAAUAAAAAUCACAACAAAUAGAAGUUAAAUCUCAUACUAAGUAUUGAAUGUCUAAGGUUGAUAAUAUUCCUGAAUGAAUACUAAAUAGUCUCUAGAAGAGCAAAUCUUCGAAGGAAACAAUGCUAUGUUCGUUACCUUCUGAGAAAUUUCGUUGACGCGGUAGCUGCAGCUCAAUGGCGGAUCCCAUUGGGGAAGCGUGUCAUGGGGACAGGACUACAGGAACGUGCCCGGCCGAUUGGCCAAAGUUGUUCAACACGGGAGUGAGUCACUAUCAAGAACUAAUGAAGAAGGACCAAAUCAUCUGUUUGCAUAUACCAUAUAGGUGAAGAAUUCACUACACGGGGGUGCAGAGCUGCCAUUGCUAUUGCUUCGUGCAGGCGCAGGGGAAGAAAGACGGAGAGCUAACGAGGUCGGUGGUGGCCAGAAAAGAUGGAUCUGGUUGGCAGCGUGGAGACGAUCGUCAAGCUUGGUCUGACGAUCAAGGAGGCCGUCGACACGGUCCGCCGGAACGAGGAGGAGUGCAGUGAGAUCCGGGAGAGGGUGCUCAGAGUCGGCGACAUCUUGUCGCCGCUGCAGGAGACCGGGUCGAUGGAUGACAGCCCGGCGAUUAGCGGCGCGCUGGAGGAUCUGGAGAAGACCCUCUGGCGAGCCCACACGCUCGUGGAGGCGUGCCAGGAGAAGAGCACCAUCUGCCUCUUUUGCACGGCCGGGAAGCAGUCCACGCAGCUGCGCAAGGUGCAGGAGGACAUAACACAGAAGGUCAUGGUGGUGAUCUUCGCCACCAAUGUCCAGCUCACCAUGAUUCUGACACGGCUGGACCGUCCGUGCCCACAGACCCGGGAAUCUUUUCAUAUGGGGUUGGAGGUCUCCCUUCCUGGGGACAGUUCGGUCGGACAUACCUUGGCCUUCUCGCGACCCGCGAGACGGGCGCACCCAGCGCCGGCGCCGCCACAAAGCUCCCCCGCCACCACCCCAGCGUUCGCCGUUCCUCGUCGUCGACGUCCACUGCCGUUCGCGUCCACCGCCGCACAGGACGGCCGCUCGCGUCCACCGCCGUCGAUGUCCACCGCCAGUUGCGUCCAAACUAUUAAUGGUACAACCAUUUAUGCAUCCAAAUCUAGUAUUUAGUUCUUAUCUAUCUAUUAUUUAGCUUAUCUAUCUAUUAUUUAGCAAACCUUGUAAGAGCAUUUUCAAGAGGAUGGCUAUCCCACUCUCUAAGCUAAAAUUUGGCACGUUUGCUGGAAAAUUUUGCUCCAGCAAAGUUGCUAUCCGGAUGGCUAUCCCAUCCGGCUUAUCAAAUACUCACCUAAACUUAGCAAGUGGGUUUGGCUUGUCAAAUAUGGGUCCCACACCUAAAAUGGAGAGUCUGUUAUAGUAUGAAAUGGAGAUGUUGGUGGAAUGGAUGGAGAGUGUAGAUAUUCAGAGAGAAACCUAGCUAUUGAAAUUUGGAUAGUGGGAAAUGUUGGAAUGAGCAACUCAAUAUGGAAAGGAAUCUUUUUUCCAACUUGAUUAGAGAGUCGAAGGAGAGCUAAAAAUGGAUAAUUUGUUGGAGUUGCUCUAAUCUUUUCGUAAAAACAAGUUAUUCUAGAAAUUUUGUGACAGAUUAAUACAUCAACAACAACAACAAAGCCUUUCAGUUCCCAAAGCCUUUCAGUUCCAAGCAAGUUGAGUAGGCUAGAGUUGAAACCCAACAGGAGCCACACAUCAGGGUUCAGCACAUGAAUAGCUAUUUUCCAAGCACUCCUAUCCAAGGUUAAAUCUUUGUGUAUAUCCCAGCCCUUCAAAUCUUCUUUUAUUGCCUCUUCCCAUUUCAAUUUUGAUCUUCCUCUGCCUCUCUUCACAUUACUGUCACGCCAUAGGGUUUCACUAUGCAUUGGUGCCUUCGGAAGCCUCCGUUGGAUAUGUCCUUAUUCCGGAUUCGAUCCCUUCUCGUAUGACCACAAAUCCAAUGCAACAUACGUAUUUCCGCAACACUUAUCUGCAGAACAUGUCAUUUUUUUAGGCCAACAUUCUACACCAUACAACAUUGCAAGUCUAAUCGCCGUCCUAUAAAACUUGCCUUUUAGCUUCAAAGGUACCCUCUUGUCAUAUAAAAUUCCUGAUGCUUAGCGCCACUUCAUCCACCUUGCUUUGAUUCUAUGGAUGACAUCUUCAUCAAUAUCCCCAUCUUGUUCUAGCAUUGAUCCCAAAUAUCAAAAUGUAUCCUUCCUGGGCACUACUUGUCCUUCAAAACUAACAUCUCCCUCCUCAUCUGUAUUAGUGCCAAAGUCACAUCUCAUAUAUUUAGUUCUAGUUCUGCUGAGUCUAAAACCUUUUGACUCUAGGAUCUCCCACCAUAACUCCAGUUUCCUAUUUACUCCUGCUCGACUUUCAUCAACUAGCUCUACAUCAUCCAUGAAGAGCAUACACCAAGGGAUAUCCCCUUAUAUGCCCCUUGUGACCUCAUCCAUCACCAAGGAAAAUAGAUAAGGCCUCAAAGCUAACCCUUGACGCAGUCCUAUUAUAAUCGGAAAGUCAUCUGUGUCGCCAUCACUUGUUCGAACUCUAGUUACAACAUUGUUGUACAUGUCCUUAAUAAGUCCAACGUACUUCAUUGGGACUUUAUGUUUGUCCAAAGCCCACCACAUGGCAUUCUAUGGUAUUUUGUCAUUCGCUUUCUCCAAGUCAAUGAAAAUUAUGUGUAGGUACUUCUUCUCCUUAUACCGCUCCAUAACUUGUCUUAUUAACAAAAUAGCUUCCAUGGUUGACCUUCCAGGCAUGAAACCAAAUUGGUUCAUAGAGACCCGCGUUAUCCUUCCCAAAAGAUGCUCGCUAACUCUCUCCCAUAGUUUCAUAGUAUCGAUCAUCAACUUAAUUUCUUGGUAAUUAGUACAACUUUAAAUAUCUCCCUUAUUCUUGUAUAUUAGUACCAAUAUACUUCUCCACUCUUCCAGCCUCUUGUUUGACUGAAAAAUAUGGUUAUACAACUUGGCUAGCCAGACUAUGGCUAUAUCCCCGAGGCAUCUCCAGACCUUAAUUGAGGUACCAUUCGGGCCCAUCGCCUUACCACUUUUCAUCCUUUUGAACGCCUCUCUCACCUCAGAUUCUUGGAUCUUCCGCACAAAGUUCCUGUUGGUGCCAUCAAAAGAGUCAUCCAAUUGAAAGGUUAUGUUCUCAUUCUCACCAUUGAACAAUUUGUCAAAAUACUCUUGCCAUCUAUGUUUGAUCUCAUCCUCCUUUACCAAGGUGUUUUCUAUUUCAUCCUUACUGCACUUAACUUGGUUGAAGUCCCUCAUCUUUCUCUCACAAACCCUAGCCAUCCUAAAGAUGUCCUUCUCUCCUUCCUUCAUACCUAAUCAUGGUAAAGAUCCUCAUAUGCCUUACCCUUUGUCACACUCACAGCUCGCUUUGCGAUCUUCUUUGUCUCCUUGUACUUCUCUAUGUUGUCCACACUUCUAUCAUGGAACAAGCGCCUAUAGCAUUCUUUCUUCUCUUUAAUAGUCCUUUGAACUUCCUUAUUUCACCACCAAGUAUCUUUAUCUACGCCUCUACCCCCUUUGGCCACUCCAAGCACCUCCGAGGCCACCUUCCGAAUGCAGUUUGCCAUAUUCUCUCACAUGUUUGUGUCCUCUCCUUCCUUCCCAGGGUCCUCUUUGAUUACCCUUUCCUUGAAGACCUCUAAUGUCUCCUGUUUUAGUUUUCACCACUUUGUUCUAGCAAUCUUGGCUUGUUUAUCCCUGCAUGCGUGCAUCUGAAAACAAAAGUCCACCACCACAAGCUUAUGUUGAGAAACAACUCAUUCCCUUAGUAGCACCUUGCAAUCCAAGCAUGCUCGUUUAUCCUCUCUUCUUGUGAGAAUAAAGUCAAUCUGGCUAUAGUGUUGACCACUACUAAAAGUCACUAAAUGGGACUAUCUCUUCCUAAAGAAAGUGUUCGCUAUCAUCAAGUCAAAAGCUACUGCAAAGUCCAAGAUUUCCUCUCCAUCCUGAUUCCUACUACCAUACCAAAACUCUCCAUGAACUGCCUCGAAACCUGCAGUUGUUGUACCUAUAUGCCCAUUGAGAUCUCCUAUGAAAAGCUUCUCGCUAGAAGGUAUAAUUCUAACCAGGCUAUCUAAAUCUUCCUAGAAUUGCCUCUUAUUACUCUCAUCGUGGGCUACUUGGGGCAUACGCACUAAUUACAUUCAAGACCAUAUCACCAAUUAUAAGCCUAACUAAGAUAAUCCUAUCCCCUUGCCUUCUCAUGUCCACCACUCCAUCCUUAAGACACUUGUCAAUCAAAACUCCCACUCCAUUUCUAUUUGCAGCUGUCCCUAAGUACCAAAGCUUGAAACCAGUAUUGUCCGCCUCCUUCGCCUUCUGGCCCUUCCAUUUAGUCUCUUGAACGUAUAAGAUAUUUACACGCCUCCUAGUCGCUACGUCUACUAACUCUCUUAACUUACCUGUAAGAGACCCUACCUUCCAAGUACCCAUCGAGACAGAUGUGAAGACCCUUGCUCAUUUUUCACUACACUCGAGCACAGAUAUAGUGCACCGUUAAGGAAAUGACUAUCCAAUCCUUGCUCACUUGACACUGUGCCCAAAUCACAACACGUCGCGUCACCAAUGGGGAGAUGACCAGACCCUUGCCCAUUUAACACCAUACCUAGAUUCCGAUAUGGCGUGUCGAUAAGAGGGUUACGCCCCAACGAAUUUCUCUUGGGUUUCAUCUCCAUUAGAAUGGCUAGGUUUAACAUUGGCUCGCCAAGCCUAUCACAACCCUCCUUCUUUGCUAGGGCUUGAUAUCGGCUAUGUUAAGACAACAUAGGUGGAGUUAAAUUUUAAGACAAAUUAAUAAAAAAGUGCUAAGUGAUUGCCGCAUGCGCAUGCACGUACUAAAUGAGGUAACAGUAACUUAUUUUUUUUGGAUAAACUUUGAAGUCCUAUUCAUUCGUUCAUUUCUCACUUUUCAUUCCUUAAUCUCACUUUUUUAUUUAUUUUGUUUUUGGGCCCAAGCCUUCUGACAUUGUAUUUGGUUCUUUAUCCUUUUUUAAUAAAAAAAAAGAUAAUCAGUUUGAUGAAAACAGAAUGAAAGAAGAGAUACGGAAUGCAGGCAUGCAAGACCUCCUCCAAUAGUUAGAGUCAAGUACUAACUCAUAGACUUAAAAGAUUGUGUAAGAGACAUGUUCUCGAACAAUUAGAGUCAAAUACUAUCUCUUAUGUCUAUAUAGAUCCAUACAUCAGUCUCACAUGAUUUAGGAAUAUAUGUCUGAGACUAUCUCUUGAACAAGAAAUAGCUCUUCUUUCUUUUUCUCCUACAUGGGUAAAAAUCUGAUGUGUGGCAUACCCAUGAGGUAGCUGAGUUGGCACCAUUGGAGGAGGCCUAAGCUGAAUAUAGGUGACCUAGGUUUGCUUCGCUAAAUGCAUUUAUGACCGAGUAUUUAUUUUGUCAUAAUAGCACUGCUGGGGAAUUGCACAUACAACUAGGAGUAGUUCCAAACUGGUUUUGGAUCCAUCUUUUGGAGGUGGUUGAAACCAGAAUUUUCUUUCCAUUAUCUAAAAAAAACUGAUUUUGGAUCCUGUAGUAGGCUAGUGGGACUGUGGGAGUGAUAUCUCCUGGCUGUAAGUAACUCAGUUCUAUUUCUCAAUGCAUUAACCCUUUCGUACAAAUUAUCACCAGUGGACCACUAUGCCUACAGCAGUGCUUACACGGAAACACCAUUUUUUUUUGUCAGAUUACGCUGGUCGAGUAAGUAAACUUUAUUUUAUUAUAAUUUACAUGUUCCAAGGAAGUGAGUCUAUCUCAACUGGUUAGGUUGGAAGGUGUGGUCAUGUAACCACCAAAUUUCGAAUCCUCUCUAACUUGAAUUUAGUUGUCUAUUUUCUUCUUUUGAUGAAAGAACCACCUAGUUCUUUCUAGAUGUUUUGAAGGGCGGUUCCACUAUUGGAAAACUCCCUAUUAGUACCGAGUCGAAUCUGGGCAGUUCCACUACUGGAAAAGUCCCUAUUAGUACCGGGUCAAAUCCGAGACUAAAAGUGCCAACGUUUGUACCAGUAUUAAAGAGUUUUGCACCAAAAAAAUAUUCUAAAUUUUGUGGAAUUUUUCACCUACACAAGUCACGUGAUUUUUCACGUGAAAUAUGCGCUUGCACGGCGCCUGCGAUUUGAACUCGUGACCUAUUGCCUCACGCAUAGCUUCCUGACUAUCUCACCUACACAGCACAACUAAUUGAGUAGGAGAUACUUUCCUUUUGAAGAUACCUAUGGGGGUCCUUUUAAUAUCGAUUUGUGACACCAACUAAUACAAAAAGGUGACUUUUACUACCGGGUGGGUAACACCAACUGAUAUUAAAGGGUGGGUUUUAAUACCGGUUGGUGUUACCGGUACUAAAAGACCUUCAGGACUGCUAAAUUUAGACCCGGUACUAGCACUAGGUCCAAUAAUUUAUUCUGAGAUUUUUGUUGGGGAUCGAUGACUCUUUUUCUACUUGCUAGUGUUCAUCCUUUGAUCCGCACCUGGAAAUCCAUUUUUAGAUGUGGGCCGACUACUAUAGUGCGUCGCCAUCUUUUUAGAGCGCGUCUAAAAAUCUUUUUUGCAGUUGUGCUCGUCAAUACUCACUACCGUGAGCUAAAACUCUAACCACGAGAAGGUUAAGACUAUGAUAUCCUGGAUAUGCCAGGAAGAUCACCAUUAUAUAAUCUGGGAGGUCUAAACGGUGGAAUUUUAGGCUAUAAAUAUCCCAGGGCAAAGGCACACACAGGGCGAACAACACUUCAAAGCGAUAACAUGCUCAUCAUGGCCUGAAUAAACACCCUGCAUGCAUGUGUUUGGUUGGAUUUCCUUCCUUCGUUGUUUGCAUCCUAUAUUUUUAGAGAUGCAACUGAUAUUUUGAGAUGUUGCAAUGCGCAGUUUUUGGGAUGUUUAGUCAUUUGGGGAUUCAAACUUGAGUUUGUAUGAUCUGGAUUUCUGGAAUCCAUUUUAUGCCAUUGGUUAAGGAGUUUUCUGUAGCAAAGAGCUAUUUUUAUACAUAUUUGAAGUGUUUUACACAUUGACUUUUGAUGUGGCAGUAACCGUUUCUAUGUUUUGCAACGGGCCAUUGGAGCAUCCGAUAGGGAGUUUCCCAUUGGAUAUCCGGACACUAGCAAGAAUGUUAUAUAUAUUAUUGUUUUCACCAUAGGUUGGAGAAAAUUCAGUUCCUUAGAGUUGGAGACUGCUACGAAUCACUUUUCAGAAGACAACCUCAUAGGGCGAGGUGCCUUCGCUGCUGUCUUCAAGGUUCUCUCUCUCCCUCUCUCUCUCAGGCUUCUAAACAUCUUUCCCGUGUUGACCGAUAUGUGUAUUGGCUGAUAUCCCAAUUGGCACAUAUCCAUAAGUUCACCUAAUAUAUUCAUCAAUAUGAUAAGACUAAUUCAACUUUGGAAAUUGUACACGUAUUAAGCAAAAAAAUAAUCAAAGCUUUCUUAUAUAUCUACAUCCCAAUGCAUAUACAUGAAAAUCUUUACAUUAUGAUUUAUUUAUGCACUUUAUAAAAUUACCUUGAGGGGUUGAUGGCAUAAUUUAUGUUAUGACAUUGAAACUUUAUUAUUAACCUUAUCAAUAAUCGUAAUGAAAUCUAUUUUAUGAAUUGGAUACAAGGAAUACAUCUCCUUGAGAUGUCUUAUGAUCUCUAAAAUCUGACAAACAGCAGUGGCCGAAAGAUAUGAUCAUGUUCCAAUAAAUGCUACUUACCUUGCACUCAAUUGUCAUUGUGUUUUUUAAAAUAGAAUGCAUGCCUUAGCUCACUGUUUGUGCAUAUAUACGCAGAUGUGUAUUUAGGCUUUAUCUGAAUAAAAAUUUGAUAAAUAACAUAUCCAGAAAUUAUAUUUAAAGAAAUUAAUUGCUUCUAACAUGACCAUAAUUAGCAUUAUAUUAUUCUUUUUGCUGUGUGCCUCAAUCUCCCAUAGCAUCGGCUAGAAAUUUGCCUUGUAUAUCCCAUUGACCUACUGGCUAGAAUCAUAUACUGGUUCAAAUUUAUAAGUUAAUUUAGGUUGUUUUUAAAUUAACAAUCGUGGAUAAAUUAUUUAAGUUUAGAGGAUUUUUAAGUUAUUUUGUAUAAUGAUAUAAGUGGGUAAUCUCGAUGAAGGUUCAUGGACUAAUUUAGUUUUUUCAUAAUGAUAGGGGUGUAUAAUUUAUAUAUAAAUUUAGGGGGUUACUUUGUACUUUUUUUCAUAAUAGCAGAGGAGGGUACUUUUUUUAGAAAACCUAAUAGAUGCAAUGAUUAGAAUUAUCAAAUUGAUGGCCAAAUUUCUAAUUUUGCGAGAAGUUUUAAGAUUUAUCUGUUUUUUCUAGUGUGUCUCAUGAGGGUUAACGUAGAGGCUCCAAAAGGGUCUCUAAUUAGUAAUAGUAAGAUAAGAUAAGAUGCCAUGACGAUGACUAGCAUGCACACCAAAUCAGCAAUGAAUUUCACGUGCAAACAUUUGUUGACAACAUAUCCCUAUUUUCUAAAAAAAUUGGUAAAAUAAGAAACGCAUCAAUUAACUUGGUUUGCCCUCGUACUUUUCAGGGUGUGUUACGUGACGGACUGGGCGUUGCCAUCAAGAAAUUUAAACAUCCAUAUCAACUUCCAGCAGCCCACAUUAAUGAUGAGCUCAGUCUUGUUUCGAAGCUUCAGCAUAAAAAUAUAGUUAAAUUUAUAGGAUAUGGCUAUGAAGUAAUAGAGAAGGUGGAUGGAUUUGACGACAAUAAACAUCAAGCACAAGAAUCACAUUAUUUUCUUGUGGAAGAGUACAUGCCAAAUGGAAGUUUGGACGACAUUAUCUAUGGUAGUUUUCAUUGAAGCAUUGGUAUUUCACCUACGGAGUUGUGAAUCGUCAUGUCUUUAACUACUAGUUUGUUUAUUUGCCCAUGAUUUAUGUUUGCAGGGUCUCGAAUUGAGUGGUCCUCCCUUUUUGGGAUAGUUCAAGGAAUAGCCCAAGGCCUACAUUACUUGCAUGAACAACAAUUAGUCCAUUCUGAUUUGAAACCAAACAAUAUACUCUUGGAUUCCGAUACGAAUCCAAAGAUCACAGAUUUUGGAAUUGCCAGAAUAUUGGACCAUGGUGAUGAUAUGCCACGUGACAUUAACUAUUUAGCAGGAACAGUGUAAGAUAUGUUCCAUCAAUAUUUCAGUAAUUGUGAACAUAACCUCGCCUAAAUUAACAUGAGUUCCAAUAUACACCAGGUGUGGGCAUGUUUCCCCAUAAAACCUUGUAUAAUUGCAGUUAUUCUGUUAGAAUAGCUUUUUCAUAAUCUUUUGUAGAAUUUGGUAUUCUGAAUCGAAGCAUAGCUUGAGGAUUUGCUCCAUAACAACAAAUUUUCGUUUAUGGUGGGAUGUCUAGUCCUUAUUUUAUUUCUUUCAGAAAAUUCUGAUGUUAAUUAUUUAACAAUGCAGGGGAUAUAUGUCUCCAGAAUAUAUUGUGGAAGGCAUUUUGUCGACAAAGUAUGAUGUCUAUAGUUUCGGCGUUAUGCUCCUCGAGAUCAUUAGCAGUAUGUGCAGAUCUAAACCAGCUCCUCGCCAAGCUUCAAUCGAAUGGGUAAUUAGUAAAUUUUACAGGCAUGCAUGCAUAUAGGUUCUGUACCAGGAUUUCGAUCAAUUUGUUAUUUUUUUCUUAUGGCCGGGCUUUGUUUUGAAAUCAUAGGUAAAAAUGGGUAACAUGUAUAUGCAAUUGUGCGUCUUACUGCUGGUCCAAAAGGGGAUUAAAUUGUAGUACCUGCCACAGUACAGCGGACCUAAGAUUUUUUUUUCUAGGUUAGGCAUUCAAACUAGAGCAUAUCUAAAUGUUCGUAGUACAUAUAUACUGACCAGAAAAGUAUGUUAAGAGGAAUUGGAAAAUAACUUUUGUAUUUUAUGUUCAUGCUUUUUGUUGCUUGGAACACAAUAAUGUAAGCUUAUCUCAUAGAACAUGUCAGUAGUUGAGCUCUUCAAAUUGUCUAUCUUUUUUAUGUGAGAUUGGAGUUGCAAUUAGAGUGCGUAGAGGAUUCCAGCCCUAUCCGCUAUAGCUAUGAGCUAGUGCCCAACAGGCACCAGUCACCAAAGCUCACAACAACUAAGAGCUUGGGCCUAACUCAACCCAAAGGGACCAACCUAAUGGGCAAGGGCUGCCCCACCUUAUAUGUUUGUGCUUCCCCACCAUCAAUUCCUGAUGUGAAACUAAUGAACCUAUGAAUCACGACAAAUGUGGGAUUAUAACACACAAACAAUGGUGAAUAUUUAUUUUUAUGAAGAAAAUGAGUCAAUGCAACACUGUGCUGUGACGGAGAGAACAAUAUUACCCUGAAAAUUCAUACCUUAUUUUUUGGCCUGCAUUACAAUUGAUGGCUGUGAGUUCCUUAAUUUCUUCCUCAUCCCCCAUCUCUCUCUUGUAGUCUUGUGUCACCCAUCCUCUACCGCGAAAUAAACUAGAGUGGUAUGCCAUCUUAAUUAAUCACCUGACCCAGAAAAUACUAUUGGGUACCCACUCGCCUCCCCUCGCUACCGCUGCUUUCUUGGCUCCUCCAUCCGACAAUGCCACGAAAAGCUCGGAGCUAUGCUCCUGCACCAGGGAGUUAGUAAAAACAGCUUCUUGAAAGAGAUAAUCCAGGGGAUGUAUAUGGAGCUGUAAUUACUUUACAAUUACAAUAAUUGUGUAAAAAAUGAGUUUUUAUGGCCUCUGAGUGAGUAAAACGAACCUACUCCAAAUUCAUAUGUAUAAGAAAAUAUUCCACAAAUAAGUUGUUUGCUUGCACUCUAUCUGCCAAUCAUUUACUGUACAUGCAGCUAAUUUAGGUUAUCUUUUGUUAUGCAUAGGCUUGGAUGGCGCGGCAAGCGGGACAAAUGGAGGAGUUAUUGGAUCCAUCGUUGUAUGCUGAGUUUCAGUUGAAGGAGAUAAGAAGGUGCAUGGAGGUAGGCCUUCUGUGCACUCAGUUUAAGCCGGCUGACAGACCCGCCAUGUCAGAUGUUCUUGCGAUGCUAGAUGGCAAGAAAAAGCUAAGGACCCCCAAACAACCAGGAUAUACGAAAGGAAGAAAGGCCUGAUCAGACUGAUGCGCGGGUUCCAUGCACUGAAUAAAUUAUUUCCUCGUGUAUCUACUCUUCACAUAAUAUUAAUCGAGGAUAAGCCGGCCAUUUUAUCCACCUUAUUAAUUCUAGUGCCUAAAUCUAAAACAACAAGGUAUUUUGUUUCCAGAGUAGUAAGAGUUAAUGAUGUUUCGUAUUUUUGGCUGAACUCUCGACUUUGUUUGUUUCUUUCUGGGUAUGUGGAAAUGAAAGAGCCAGGAGCCAAUUUGCCUUUUUACACACAAUAUGAUCUCUCUCUCUCUCUCUGCUAAAACGAGAGUUAUUACCUGAACGCAAUGGGAGUACAGAUUCAGAACACCUGCCGUGUGAUACCGAUACCAUGAAUUCAUAAUGUCAUGUCAAUAAGUUUCAAAAAAAUAAUGUCACGUCAACAAUAACCAAUCAAAAAAUAGGAUUGAGACAGUAAUCAAGCGGUGCAAUAGUGCAUUUUUUAUCAUCACCCUCUCAUGCUUAGAUGUUACAGUACAUCGUAGCAAAGGUACUGCCUCCAUCCUAAAUUAUUCCUAAAUUAUAGGUCGUUUUAGUUUUUCUAAAUACAUAGAUAGAUAUAGGGUAUAUCUAAGUGCAUAUCAAAGUCUAUGAAUCUAAUAAAGCUAGAGCUCGCUGCUUAUUUUCCCCUAAACUGAGGGAAGACUUUAUCUCAGAACUGGGGUACAACCAGAGCUCAGCGUAUUCGGUUGGAGUCACCGGACAAUCCAGAGUCAUCCGAUCCAAAUGCUGAAGCUGAUCGAUCUGUUUUGUUGGACUGAAUUUAAAUAAAACUUGUGCGCUGAUCAACCCUCGUACACACUUUUCUUUAUUUUUCGUAUAGAAAUGUUGCAGUGUGGUAAUGAAGUGAAUGGUGAAUCAGAGGGUGCAAUAGUAUCCAGUACGACUCCUGCAGAUUCAUAUCAGGCAGGUCGAGAAGAAACUACCUCAGCAUCCAACAGAUUUGUUGCAUUAACUCAUUUACUUUCUACAGCAUUAGAAGCCAUUACUGGAGGAGCAUAAUCAGGGUGGUGUGUGAGAUGAUAUCAAGAUGAAGGUGUGUCAGCUGAAGCAGUCAUCAGCUCACUUUGCUGUAUACGUCGUGUUCUGGUAGCUGUCUGUUAUGCCAGAGUAGACUUCUAUAUGUGUUGAUGCCUAAUUGUAGAAAGCUGCCAUUUCUUGGUCCUCUUUCUGCACUAGCGGCGUGUCCCGGCCGGUUCCCACGGCCUGGACGCCGUGCUGUCUGGGGACACAGUGUACUCUGCUGCUUGCUCUCCUGCUGCUCUGUUUUCUGGUGGUAUGUCCUGAGGUUUGACUUGAGCUCAUGCCCUUGUCCUUUACCACUUUGUCACCAGGUGAACUUUUGUUGCAUGCUUAAAUCCAUCUCUCUCAAGUGAAUAUAUCCAAAAAUAGCUCAAUAAAUACUUUAUUUUGGAUAAUGGAAAGCCUGAAUAACCACCUGAAACACUCGAAUACCUUUGCUCAGUCUGAAUGUCUGAUCAACAAAUGUCCCAGAACAGAAACGCCGGUAAGCCUUUGGUAUAGAUGCUUUGCCAAUCAACAAUGUCUAUCCCAGCCGAAAGGCUCUUAUCUCCUGUGCUUUAAGGUUUAUACAACUAACAGUAUCUUGAAAUGUGCCAGAGAGAAGAAUCGCAGUUAGUGUAAUCUCUCACUCAACCUUAAAAUUCCAUACGAGCAUAUGCAUUGCUUAAUCUUCACGCGAUGUUUUCGUACCCAUACCAUUUUGUUAACACAAGGCUUGGCUUUAGCCUUUUUUGUCUUUUGCAUUGGGCCAG
rnacentral:lncRNA from 1 species